CAGACGGGAGACAGCAGGAGGGAAUAUGGGGCAAUGGGGGAAAAAAGGAAGAAGAAAGGGAGAGGGGAGGAGGAAGGGGGGAGGAGGGGAAAGGAGUGUUGUUAGAGAAGAUAAUGACGGUAUCUAACGAAUAAGCACCGGCUAACUCCGUGCCAGCAGCCGCGGUAAUACGGAGGGUGCAAGCGUUACUCGGAAUCACUGGGCGUAAAGAGCGCGUAGGCGGGAUAGCAAGUCAGAUGUGAAAUCCUAUGGCUUAACCAUAGAACUGCAUUUGAAACUGUUAUUCUAGAGUAUGGGAGAGGUAGGUGGAAUUCUUGGUGUAGGGGUAAAAUCCGUAGAGAUCAAGAGGAAUACUCAUUGCGAAGGCGACCUGCUAGAACAUAACUGACGCUGAUGCGCGAAAGCGUGGGGAGCAAACAGGAUUAGAUACCCCAGUAGUC
rnacentral:rRNA from 1 species